UAAGUCCUGCAUGGCAAAGUCUAACCAACAGCCAUUACCUAGUCCUUGGAUGCGAAGUGGUAACAUCAGCAUUAAGCGUAGGGCGGGGAACAUCAGAGCCAGAAUUAAUAUAUGAAGCCAUACAGCCCCGAAAUCAUCAGUUGGGAGAGCCGAUUCCGUUGAACUCGAAGCAGGCAGAAAUGUUGGAUUCGUUAUGGUAAGAAUACAGCAGACUUCCCGGGGUCUCAGGGAC
rnacentral:ncRNA from 1 species